rnacentral:rRNA from 1 species
AGUCAACAUGCCCGAAGGACGUGGAUAACCUCGGGAAACUGAGGAUAAACCGCGAUAGGUCAUAAGUACUGGAAUGUUUUAUGGCUCAAAUCUACAUGGCCUCUGGAUUGGACUGCGGCCGAUCAGGCUGUUGGUGAGGUAAUGGCCCACCAAACCUGUUACCGGUACGGGCUCUGAGAGGAGGAGCCCGGAGAUGGGCACUGAGACAAGGGCCCAGGCCCUAUGGGGCGCAGCAGGCGCGAAACCUCUGCAAUAGGCGAAAGCUUGACAGGGUUACUCAGAGUGAUUCCCGCUAAGGGAAUCUUUUGGCAUCUCUAAAAACGAUGCAGAAUAAGGGGUGGGCAAGUCUGGUGUCAGCCGCCGCGGUAAUACCAGCACCCCGAGUGGUCGGGACGAUUAUUGGGCCUAAAGCAUCCGUAGCCGGUCUUGCAAGUCUUCCGUUAAAUCCACCUGCUUAACAGAUGGGCUGCGGAAGAUACUACAAGACUAGGAGGCGGGAGAGGCAAGCGGUACUCAGUGGGUAGGGGUAAAAUCCUCUGAUCCAUUGAAGACCAUCAGUGGCGAAGGCGGCUUG